AUUGAACGCUGGCGGCAGGCCUAACACAUGCAAGUCGAACGGUAACAGAGAGUAGCUUGCUACUUUGCUGACGAGUGGCGGACGGGUGAGUAAUGUCUGGGGAUCUGCCUGAUGGAGGGGGAUCACUACUGGAAACGGUAGCUAAUACCGCAUAAUGUCGCAAGACCAAAGCGGGGGACUUUCGGGCCUCGCACCAUCAGAUGAAUCCAGAUGGGAUUAGCUGAUAGGUAGGGUAAUGGCUUACCUAGGCGACGAUCCCUAGCUGGUCUGAGAGGAUGAGCAGCCACGCUGGAGCUGAGACACGGUCCAGACUCGUACGGGAGGCAGCAGUGGGGAAUAUUGCACAGUGGGCGCAAGCCUGAUGCAGCCAUGCCGGGUGUAUGAAGAAGGCCUUCGGGUUGUAAAGUACUUUCAGUCAGGAGGAAGGGUGUGAAAUUAAUACUUUCAUGCGUUGACGUUACUGACAGAAGAAGCACCGGCUAACUCCGUGCCAGCCGCCGAAGUAA
rnacentral:rRNA from 1 species